UUGCAGGAGUGGGACUGCGGAGGGAACGGAUCGCGGGAGUAUCCAGAAGAACGCGAGGCGUGGAAGGUGGCUUGGUCUGUGCCAGAAGUGCAGGCGGUGUAAUAGAAGAAAGUGGUUCGGAGCUUUUUCCACUUCUACUAUUGGGAAUUUAAUUUCAUCAUCUCUGACUUUGUCCUUUAAAAAAAGAAAGAAAGAAAAGCAGCAACCGAGAAUCAGACUCGCACACAACAUGUUGUUGCGCAGAAGGACUUCCACUCCCUGGCUGCGUUAUUAAUGUUAGCAAUUGGGAAAAGCCUUUGGGGGCUGCAGAUUCUCUCUAGUCUGAUGCUGCUGCUACCACCACUGCUGCUCAGGAUUUUGGUGCAGGAAAUUCAAACUGCUGCCUUGUCUGUCCGCUGAGCCCUUCACAUCUGCAUGUCUCUGCUGCUUGCAAACGCACCAUCUCACGCCCUCUCUCCAUGGACUGACUGCUGUGGAGGAAAGACAAGCCUGCCCAACUGAUUGUUUUGCUCCCCCUCCUUUGGGAGGAACACAAAUUAUAUUUAUUUGUGAUAUUCUGGAGGAUCUGUUCGGAGGAUAACCUUUUUGGGGGGAGGAAACAUGACGUCGCCAGCUAAAUUAAAAAAGGAUAAGGAGAUCAUAGCUGAAUAUGACACUCAAGUCAAAGGGAGCAAGCUUUUGUGCAAUCAAGCUGCUAUUAUCUAUCUUAUGCCUCAGUAAGGCUGGUUUCAGAGGAUUGCAAGAAGAAGCUGUAAUAUGGACAAAAGAUUUUUUAAACAGGCAUACUGUACAUCUGGAGUAGGUGGGGCAGAGUCCUUUGAAUGAAGGGAAGGACAAUUAAUGUGUUAUAAAGGCCACAGGAUAUAGGAAUUAUGUUUGUAUGGAAACUUAACUCUGCUGUGAAUAAAAAUGUGCACUUGCAUUUCCCCAUGGAGCUGAUUUAUAAAGGGCACAAGAGCUUGUUUUCAUACCGUUUUCUGCACUGUGGACUUCACGCCUUUGCUGAAUUUCUUUUUGCUGGAUAAAAACAAAUCUGUGAAUAUAAUAUUGUUAGAGGUUUUUUUAUUUUUGUCUAAGAUAGUAUUAUGUAUGUUGGAGUUAUAUUGAGCAGGAAUGAGCUUUUACUAUAGAUUUCCCAAUAUGUAGUGUCUAACUUAUUGUAAAGGAGGUAUGAGUAGUAGACAUUUCGUGAAAGGGAGAGUAGUAUUGACAAAGCGAUUAAUACAUUUAAUGGCCUUCUUGAUUUUAUCUGCAAAACUGCUGUCAGUUAUCCUUGCACAGUUAUAUACAAAGAGUGCACAGAAUGUCUCAUCAGCCAACUAAAGGGAGCACAUUUUGAAGUUCUCUUUACGCAUAUGCAUCAUAAUACUUCAGUGGAUACACUAAGAAAUUUUGCAAGUCAUGGACUAAAUAGGGUAAAUUAGAUAUAAUCUGCAAUUCACAAUUAUUUAUUGAUAUGGCAGGAAGGAUCUAAUUUAAAUGAUCCUUGCAGAUGAGAAAGAUCCAGUGUAACCUUCAACAAAGUGGCUUCCAGGAUGCUGAAAAUUCAAUUUCCAAAAUUCCCACGGGUUAAGCAAAUUUGGAGACAGUUGCUGGGAUAGCUAUAGUUUAUGAAACUGCUAAGGUUGCUCUUCAGUUGCCUGAUGGUAUAUUCCCUAUCAUGUGAGAAGGCAAAACCCUCAUUGCCACCAUUGUUGCCACCAUUUUUGCCUGGACUACUUGCCAACUCUGACCUUCCCUGACCUGUCAGUGGGCAGAAAAGCAAUAAAAUACCGCUUAAGCUUUUCUGCCCAUAUUGAUACUUGGAACUGAAAACCUCAGUGUGUUCUCACUAGGAAAUUGGCCAGUAUCAGCAACUCAAUCACAACUAUAAGAAAUUCAUUCAAAAUAUGAAAAUAACCAGAGUCAAUAUGUGGGCACACAAAGAGGGGAUGAUUAUCACACCCUGCAAGGUGAGAAAUCUGCAUUUUCUUCCUACUGGACUUGCUCAAGAGUCCCCCCCCCCGUAAAUGAACUGCAUUCAUGUGCUUUCUAAAGCAAAGAUCAGACUUUUCUAUAAAUAUUUCUAAUCUUUCCUUUCUUUGAUUACUAAGCUGUCCAUUUCUCUGUCAAAUAAAUUCCAACUCUGCUUCAAAUAGUUGUCCUGUACUCUUUGACCCAGCCUGGAUCAAACCAAAAUUUUCUUCUAACAGUAGCAAACAACUGUCUUUUUUCUAGCUAACUAUCACUCUUAAUUUCUAGAAACACACUACAGUUAUCUUGGACUGUGGCUUUGUGAUAUGCCAUUCUCCAGCAUGAUGACUGAAGAAUCCACCAAUGGGUUAUUUCAGUCCUCCUGCCCAAUCAGUCUGGUUGUCAAGUUGUCAUGCCCCUCAUUGACUGGGACUUCCCAGUUUCAUCUUAGUCUUUCACCCAUGAGGAUGUGAUAACUUGACUCUCUUCAUUGGAAUAGCAGGUCAGACUAGAUAUUGUUAAAGCAUUGAUGGAUUCUUCCUGGAGAAUAGGAGAAUUAUAGUUUGGUUAGUCAUUCUCUGGGAGGUUUAGCCAUUUUUUUCCUUCCUUUCCCUUUCCUUGGGAGCAUAGUUGUAUUUCUUUCCUUGCUGGGGGGGUGGUGGUGGCGGCUGCCUUUCCCCCUAAUUUAGCAGUUUGCUGAAUUAAUUCACUUUCUUAACAGAAGAAUCAAAGGGGGGGGAUCCUUUGUUUAAGAGAAUAAGGGGUCUGAGUUAGUCAAUCCCCUUAGAACAGCGGAUGCAUUCUUUCUAGCGGCCACCAUUUUGAGGCCAUGUGGAUUCUUCUCUGACCGGGCCCGGUCAGAGCUUUCCACAAACGGCCGCCAUUUUGGAUUCGCUGAACUACUUCUUAUUUGAAGUAACUCAGGCUAUUAGCAGUUCUGCUUGCAGCACGGUGUAAUUUAGAAAGAAAGCCUGUUACUUGAAGUUCCUUUCCUUUGGCUGCCGCUAAAAGGAACGAAGCCUUGUUCUGCGGCGAACAGCAGAUCGCGCCUAACAGCUGUUAGGCCCGAUUACUCAUUAGUGGAUUGAAGAAAUCGAACUUUUACC